rnacentral:rRNA from 1 species
UACAGAGGUGGCAAGCGUUGUUCGGAAUUACUGGGCGUAAAGCGCACGUAGGCGGCUUGGUAUGUCGGGUGUGAAAUCCCCGGGCUCAACCUGGGAACUGCAUCCGAAACUGCCUUGCUAGAGUAUGGGAGAGGGAAGUGGAAUUUCCGGUGUAGCGGUGAAAUGCGUAGAUAUCGGAAGGAACAUCAGUGGCGAAGGCGACUUCCUGGACCAAUACUGACGCUCAGGUGCGAAAGCGUGGGGAGCAAACAGG